rnacentral:rRNA from 1 species
CCUACGGGUGGCAGCAGUGGGGAAUAUUGCACAAUGGGGGAAACCCUGAUGCAGCGACGCCGCGUGAGUGAAGAAGUAUUUCGGUAUGUAAAGCUCUAUCAGCAGGGAAGAAAAUGACUGUACCUGAUUGAGAAGCCCUGUCCAACUACGUGCCAGCAGCCGCAGUAAUACGGAGGGGGCAAGCGUUAUCCGGAUUUACUGGGUGGAAAGGGAGCGUAGGCGGCAGCACAAGUCUGGAGUUAAAUGCCGGGGCUUAACCCCGGAACUGCUGUGGAAACUGUGCAGCUAGAGUGCAGGAGAGGUAAGUGGAAUUCCUAGUGUAGCGGUGAAAUGCUUAGAUAUUAGGAGGAACACCAGUGGCGAAGGCGGCUGACUGGACUGUAACUGACGUUGAGGCUCGAAAGCGUGGGGAGCAAACAGGAUUAGAUACCCGGGUAGUC